UGAAACUUCCAUCCAGUGGGUAUUGUCCUACUUUUAAAUUGGUUCAAAAUAGGAUCAUCAAGGUAUCUAGAUAUCCAUGGCAAAGAAUCAGCUCUUUUCUAAUCAAUGAGUUUUGCUGGUGGUUAAGUAUAUAUUUCAAUGGUCCGUGUAAAGGAAACAACAGUAGACAAAGAAAAUUGUAUUUCUCGGCUGACUGUAUUGUCUUUCCUGAGGACCCUCAUCAUAACAACUUUUUCUCUGGUGACAGAUUUCCAAUGAAUCACCCUGAAGUAGUACCUGCAAUGACGUUGCACACACUAUUCUCUGCAAUCAGCUGUGCGAAGACAGCUGUCACUCCUCUUCGUCACUAAAGGGAAUCCCAGUCUGAUGGCAGCAGUCCCAUGGUAAGAUCUGGUCUGCAGAGAAGAACCAUCACAGAACUCUCCAAGAAUAUAUUUAUCAAAGCCAUGUGGAAGAGAGUAUCCUCUGGACCAUCCCAGGAUGAUUCCUGGCCACAGCAAAGAGGAAGCUUGGGUUUGCAUGUCCAGGACCUCCACCCUAAGUAUUCAGGCACUCUUUUUGACAUCAUUGCUGUUGUUACUUAGGUGUAUCUCCUUGGUUGUGUUUCUCCAUUCUGCUAUAAAAACUGAGAAAACACAGAGACUAAUCAGUCAUUGAAUAUUAUGGAUGAGUCUUUGAAAAGGCAUUUUGCCCCGUCUUCUGCCCCUCAAGUAAGUGUUUAGCUGUAUCAUUCCAAACACAUGAGAAUCUAUUUGGCUCCAGAACUGCAGGGAAAUAAGGUACAGUCUUCCUCAGUAAACCCUGCCACUGAUAAUAUUAUCAUGUAUGAAAUUAUGAAUGAAUUUAUUGACUAAUUGACAAUAUGUCAGUUGGAGAAUUUAAUCUUGAGUGUACCGUUUUCACAAUGCAGCAAACUUUGAAGUUACUAUCAAAAGCCAGAUGUCUUUAAGGUAUGUUAAAAAUUCAGUCAAAACUUUAAAAAUUUAAUAGGAAUAAUACAAGCCUUGCUCUGUAGAUUGUUUGAAGGUUGCUAUUGCAACGCUUGAA
rnacentral:lncRNA from 1 species